CAGUAGCCGCGGGAAUACGUAGGGCGCAAGCGUUAUCCGGAAUUAUUGGGCGUAAAGAGCUCGUAGGCGGUUUGUCGCGUCUGCCGUGAAAGUCCGGGGCUCAACCCCGGAUCUGCGGUGGGUACGGGCAGACUAGAGUGAUGUAGGGGAGACUGGAAUUCCUGGUGUAGCGGUGAAAUGCGCAGAUAUCAGGAGGAACACCGAUGGCGAAGGCAGGUCUCUGGGCAUUAACUGACGCUGAGGAGCGAAAGCAUGGGGAGCGAACAGGAUUAGAUACCCGAGUAGUCCCUGUCUCUUAUAC
rnacentral:rRNA from 1 species